rnacentral:sRNA from 1 species
UUUUAGCCUUGAUAGCAGCGAUAUCCUUUAUGCUUGGGGUUCAAGCAUAAAGAUAUAGCGAAUAGCAAGACAGAAU